rnacentral:rRNA from 1 species
UACGUAGGGGGGCAAGCGUUUGUCCGGAAUCAUUGGGCGUAAAGCGCGUGUAGGCGGCCCGGUAAGUCCGCUGUGAAAGUCGGGGGCUCAACCCUCGAAUGCCGGUGGAUACUGUCGGGCUAGAGUGCGGAAGAGGCGAGUGGAAUUCCUGGUGUAGCGGUGAAAUGCGCAGAUAUCAGGAGGAACACCGGUGGCGAAGGCGGGUCUCUGGGCCGAUACUGACGCUGGAGGAGCGAAAGCCGUGGGGAGCGAACAGG